AUGAACGCUGGCGGCGUGCUUCACACAUGCCAGUCGAACGAGAAGUGAAGACGGAACCCUUCGGGCGGAAGGCUUUAUUUCGAGUGGCGGACGGGUGAGUAACGCGUGGGUAACCUGCCUCAUACAGGGGGAUAACAGUUGGAAACGACUGUUAAUACCGCAUAAGACCACAGCACCGCAUGGUGCGGGGGUAAAAACUCCGGUGGUAUGAGAUGGACCCGCGUUCGAUUAGCCAGUUGGCGGGGUAACGGCCCACCAAAGCGACGAUCGAUAGCCGAUCUGAGAGGAUGACCGGCCACAUUGGGACUGAGACACGGCCCAAACUCCUACGGGAGGCAGCAGUGGGGAAUAUUGCACAAUGGGGGAAACCCUGAUGCAGCGACGCCGCGUGAGUGAAGAAGUAUUUCGGUAUGUAAAGCUCUAUCAGCAGGGAAGAAAAUGACGGUACCUGAGUAAGAAGCCCCGGCUAACUACGUG
rnacentral:rRNA from 1 species